CACGUAGGCACCAAGCGUUGUCCGGAUUUAUUGGGCGUAAAGAGCGUGUAGGCGGCCUGGUAGGUCUGCUGUGAAAACUCGAGGCUCAACCUCGAGAUGUCGGCGGAAACCAUCUGGCUAGAGUCCGGAAGAGGAGAGUGGAAUUCCUGGUGUAGCGGUGAAAUGCGCAGAUAUCAGGAAGAACACCUAUGGCGAAGGCAGCUCGCUGGGACGGUACUGACGCUGAGGCGCGAAAGCGUGGGGAGCGAACAGG
rnacentral:rRNA from 1 species